CACGUAGGGCGCGAGCGUUUGUCCGGAAUUAUUGGGCGUAAAGAGCUCGUAGGCGGCCUGUUGCGUCCGCUGUGAAAAGCCCGGGGCUUAACCCCCGGGUCUGCAGUGGAUACGGGCAGGCUAGAGGUAGGUAGGGGAGAAUGGAAUUCCCGGUGUAGCGGUGAAAUGCGCAGAUAUCGGGAGGAACACCGGUGGCGAAGGCGGUUCUCUGGGCCUUACCUGACGCUGAGGAGCGAAAGCGUGGGGAGCGAACAGG
rnacentral:rRNA from 1 species